AUUAGAGUUUGAUCCUGGCUCAGGAUGAACGCUGGCGGCGUGCCUAAUACAUGCAAGUCGAGCGCCUUCACUUCGCUCAUCAGUUUGUGGCUGGUGGUCGGUGUGAAGGAGCGGCGGACGGCAGAGUAACGCGUAGGAACGUACCCCAAAGUGAGGGAUAAGCCCGGGAAACCGGGUCUAAUACCGCAUAUUCUCUUCGGAGCAAAGCUACGGCGCUUUGGGAGCGGCCUGCGUAUGAUUAGCUUGUUGGUGAGGUAAUGGCUCACCAAGGCGACGAUCAUUAGCUGGUCUGAGAGGAUGAUCAGCCUGACUGGGACUGAGACACGGCCCAGACUCCUACGGGAGGCAGCAGUAGGGAAUUUUCCGCAAUGGGCGAAAGCCUGACGGAGCAACGCCGCGUGCAGGAGGAAGGCCUUCGGGUUGUAAACUGCUUUUAUCUGUGACGAUUAUGACGGUAGCAGAAGAAUAAGGAUCGGCUAAUUCCGUGCCAGCAGCCGCGGUCAUACGGAAGAUCCGAGCGUUAUCCGGAAUUACUGGGCGUAAAGAGUUGCGUAGGUGGCAGGUAAAGCAAACAGUGAAAGUUCCCGGCUCAACCGGGGGCACAUUGUUUGAACUCACCAGCUAGAGCACAGUAGAGGUACCUGGAAUUCCCAGUGUAGGAGUGUAAUCCGUAGAUAUUGGGAGGAACACCGAUGGCGUAGGCAGGGUACUGGGCUGUUGCUGACACUAAGGCACGAAAGCGUGGGGAGCGAACGGGAUUAGAUACCCCGGUAGUCCACGCCGUAAACUAUGGAUGCUAGCUGUUAUCAGUAUCGACCCUGGUAGUAGCGAAGCUAACGCGUUAAGCAUCCCGCCUGUGGAGUACGAGCGCAAGCUUAAAACAUAAAGGAAUUGACGGGGACACGCACAAGCGGUGGAGCGUGUUGUUUAAUUCGACGGUAAACGAAGAACCUUACCAAGGCUUGACAUCCUGCCAAGUUUUCCGAAAGGAAAAUGUGCCUUCGGGCCGCAGUGACAGGUGAUGCAUGGCCGUCUUCAGCUCGUGUCGUGAGAUGUUUGGUUAAGUCCAUCAACGAGCGCAACCCUUAUAGUCAGUUGAACUUCUCUGGCUAGACUGCCCCGGCAACGGGGAGGAAGGAGGGGAUGAUGUCAGGUCAUUAUUUCCCUUACGCCUUGGGCUACAAACACGCUACAAUGGCCGGUACAAAGGGCCGCCAAGUCGCAAGACGGAGCAAAUCCCAUCAAAGCCGGUCUCAGUUCGGAUUGUAGGCUGAAACUCGCCUGCAUGAAGCUGGAAUCGCUAGUAACGGUAGGUCAGCUAUACUACCGUGAAUAAGUUCCCGGGUCUUGUACACACCGCCCGUCAAACCAUGAAAGUCGCCAAUACCCAAAGUCUGAUCUUGUAUCGGCCUAAGGUAGGGGAGAUGAUUGGGGUUAAGUCGUAACAAGGUAAAAU
rnacentral:rRNA from 1 species